rnacentral:sRNA from 1 species
UACAUCUCACUCCAGACCCUGCCUGAACAUUAAAUACGCUAAGUAAUCGUUUGCCUUUACACACCCCGAUCGCAACAUCAGGGUUGCGGCACGCCGGGAAAACGACACGGAACGUCAGGAAGGGGUCAAUGGCCGGUACGCUAAACAAGUAAGCGUCGAAUUUUGGCUGAUCUUAACGAAAAGGGGAAGUGUUAAAAACAGAUAUCACUCUAAAACAUGGGAGAUUUUUACCGUCAAGUGUGCAAAAAUGCGCUAUAUCACUUUUUGUGUGGGUAUAAAAAGGAGAAAACUUGAUGAGCACCGAUCUGAAAUUUUCAUUAAUCACCACGUUUAUUGUUCUGGCCCUGAUUGUUGCGGGUGGUUUAACCGCAGCGCUGCACUGAUUC